GUGCUCGCUUCAGUAGCACAUAUACUGAAUUGGAAUGAUACAGAGAAGAUUAGCAUGGCCCCUGCACAAGGAUGACAUGCAAAUUUGUGAAACAUUUCAUAUUUUU
rnacentral:snRNA from 1 species